rnacentral:misc_RNA from 1 species
UCUCCGUAGGUGAACCUGCGGAGGGAUCAUUACAGAGUUCUCGCCCUCACGGGUAGAUCUCCCACCCACUGUUAUCGUUACUGUCGUUUCUUUGGCGGGCCGCCGGGUCCCCGGCCGCCGGCGCCUAGCUGCCGGCGCGCGCCCGCCAGAGGCCUUCAAACUCUGAAUGUUAGUGUCGUCUGAGUACUAUAUAUUAGUUAAAACUUUCAACAACGGAUCUCUUGGUUCUG